rnacentral:SRP_RNA from 1 species
GGUCGGGCCCCACGUGGCGGGACCUCGUGAACCGGGUCAGGGCCGGAAGGCAGCAGCCCUCAGCAAGGUAUCUCGGGUACCGUGGGUCGCCUGACUUCC